CCGGCCGUUCCGUCGGUCGUAGCCUACCCGUGCAUGCGUUGCUGGUAACGGCGGCGUGUGAAGCCAUGGGGACAAAGCGCUGGGCCUUCGGGCCGCGUCGAUCUCUGCGAAGAGAAGAUGUCAUCUGCGAGCACCAAUGUGGAUGGGGCG
rnacentral:ncRNA from 1 species